rnacentral:ribozyme from 1 species
UUUUGAUAAAUUGCUUGCAUAGUUCUCUGCUACUUUCUUCUUUUUUUUUUUUUUUGCAGCUGGGUUUUCUUUUUCUUUGUUUCAGUAAUUUGAAUUCUAAAUAAUAAGAAAAUGAAGAAAGAGUUGAAGUCCUGAAAUUAGACAAGUUUUUUUACUCCUGUAUGUAUGUAGUAAUUACUGGAUAAUAGUCAUGUAUAGUUAUAAGAAUUUUAACAAAGAAUAAAUAUCAUUA